rnacentral:piRNA from 1 species
UAAGGAUUUCCAGGUUGAUUUGGCCAAAU